rnacentral:rRNA from 1 species
GACGAACGCUAGCGGGAGGCUUAACACAUGCAAGUCGAGGGGCAGCAUAGGGUAGCAAUACUCUGAUGGCGACCGGCAAACGGGUGAGUAACGCGUAUGCAACCUACCCUGUACAGGGGGAUAACCCGGAGAAAUUCGGACUAAUAUCCCGUAAUAAUAUCCGGAGGCAUCUUUGGAUAUUUAAAGUUCCGACGGUACGGGAUGGGCAUGCGUAACAUUAACUGGUUGGUAAGGUAACGGCUUACCAAGGCUAUGAUGUUUAGGGGUCCUGAGAGGGUGGUCCCCCACACUGGUACUGAGACACGGACCAGACUCCUACGGGAGGCAGCAGUGAGGAAUAUUGGUCAAUGGGCGCAAGCCUGAACCAGCCAUCCCGCGUGCAGGAAGACGGCCCUAUGGGUUGUAAACUGCUUUUCCAGGGAGAGAAACUUACGCACGUGUUGCGUGACUGACGGUACCCUGGGAAUAAGCAUCGGCUAACUCCGUG